AUGGACACUAUUGGGGGGAGAAGGGUCUUGGGAUCCUAUAAACCCAUCACCUUACAAGGGAGAUGCAGAAUCCGCUUCGUGUCUGAUCUGCUCAAUGAUAAUGAUUCAUGGAAUUUAGGGCCACUACAGGAGUAUUUCCUUCCGGCUGAUGUGAACGAGAUAUUGAAAAUCAGGGCGUCCCCUAGGCAGGAGGACGACACCUUGGCUUGGGGUCCGGGUAAGUUCGGCAUUUUUUCGGUCAAAAGUGCAUAUCAAUUUGGUUUUGAAGAGGUUCACAGGAGCUCGGCAACGGGCUCUAGCUCGCGACCUGAUGGACGCCGCUCAUGCUGGAAGCUUAUAUGAUCAUCGGGUGUUCCUUCUACUGUCCAGAAUUUUGCUUGGCGUGUUGCUACUAACUCGUUGCCGACAUGGUGCAAUAAGCAGAGGCGAGGACUUGAAACUAGUGACCUUUGCCCUGUAUGUGCUGCUGAACCCGAGGACUGUUACCAUGCUCUCUGUCGUUGCACUUUUGCGAGAAUCCUAUGGGAAGUAAUAUCUGAGGUUUGGCCACUCCCGUGCUUGUCUACCUUGCAAAACAACGGGGAUGAGUGGCUGUUGCAUGCCCUUGAACCGUUUCAGGAAGUGGAGAGAUCUAUGUUGUUGAUCUCCAUGUGGAGGGUGUGGCAUAUCCAUAACGAGGUCGUACACCAUAAACCAACCCCGCCCAUGGAAGCUUCAAGAACAUUCUUGGUAAGCUAUUUGGACGCUCUGAUUGGUAUAAAAACAUAUCUCUCUGCUGAUCCAAGCAAAGGCAAGUCAAUCAUCACUUAUGAAAAUCUGAAUCCACUAAUGACAAGGAACAAAACUGCUACUAAGUGGUCAACUCCAAAGUCUGGAUGGGUGAAGCUCAGUACUGAUGGUUCCUUUGCUGAUGACGGAACGAGUGCUGGAAUGGUGCUACGAGAUGACAUGGGUGCCAUCAUCUUGUCCUCUUGCAGGCAAUUGUUCUCCUGUCACGAGGCACUUGAAGCUGAGUUGUGUGCAUGUAUGGAAGGUUUGUCCUUUGCCAUCCACAGAAGUGAGCCACCAGUGAUCGUGGAAAUGGAUUCAAUUGUGGCGGUGAAGUUGAUCCAAGCUUCUGAGGUUGACAGAUCCAUCUACUCGUCCAUCUUAAAGGAAAUCAAAUAUCUUAUGUAUCUUCGUGAAAGUUGUAUUACUCAUGUAAAUCGUAGCCAGAAUAAGGUUAGUGAUAGCCUAGCUAAGUUUGCUUGAAUUGAGGGUAGAACCAUGACUUGGUUGGAUUCUGGACCUCAAGAAUCCUCAGAGUUAGCUGUGAUGGAUUGUAUGAACGUGGAGUUUGAGUAA
rnacentral:rRNA from 1 species